rnacentral:rRNA from 1 species
UAAAGUAGUAUCAGUUAAGAUCUUGAAACUUAAAGAAUUUGGCGGUAUUUUAUUUUUAUCAGAGGAACAUGAUUUUGAAACGAUAAUCCGCGAAAAUCUUACUUAGUUUUACAUUAUGUAUAUCUCCGUCGUAAGAAUUAUUAAUAAUAAUUUUUUCUAAAUAUUUUAAUAUAGGAUGACAGGUCAAGGUGCAGAUUAUAAUUAAGUUAAAUUGUGUUACAAUAAUAUUAUUUAUGGAUUGAUUAAUGAAAUUUGGUUAGGAAAUUGGAUUUGAAAGUAAAUUUUAAAAAUUAUUUUAAAUUGAAUGAAUUAUGAAAUAUGUA